rnacentral:rRNA from 1 species
AGCAGCCGCGGUAAUUCCAGCUCCAAUAGCGUAUAUUAAAGUUGUUGCAGUUAAAAAGCUCGUAGUUGAAUUUCGGGAUCAAUACGUCGGUCGUGCUUCGGUACGUACUGGCGUAAUUGAUUUCUCCCUUCUGACGAACCAUGAUGUCAUUAACUUGGUGUCAUGGGAAAUCAGGACUGUUACUUUGAAAAAAUUAGAGUGUUUAAAGCAAGCUAACGCUUGAAUACAUUAGCAUGGAAUAAUGAAAUAGGACGUUCGAUCCUAUUUUGUUGGUUUCUAGGACUGACGUAAUGAUUAAUAGGGAUAGUUGGGGGCAUUAGUAUCCAAUUGUCAGAGGUGAAAUUCUUGGAUUUUAUUGAAGACUAACUACUGCG